ACAGAAGCACACUGCCAGGGAAAUGCAAGGAGGUAUCCACCACAUCCAAGAGCAGGCAGCUAUUUUCCCUCUAGGACCAACAUUAGAGCUACUUGAGGAAUUGCCAGAAUUGAAUGCGCUGUGAAUAGCUCUCAGUUGAACAACAACGAGGUGUUUGUUUACUAAAGGCAGUUCCAAGGUGAAUGAGCAGCAUUCUGUUUGCAUUAAGAUCAGGCAUUCCUGAGACCUCAUAGAAGAUUCAGAAUGUACCAAAUAUCAAGAAGCAGGUGCUGAUGAACUCAAAUGUGAAGCACUAGGUAAACAUAUAUCUAUACCCAGAAGGCAGGAAUUGCAGCUUUCCUUCAUCCCAGGGGCUGCUAUAUUUCCUUGCAUCUGCACCUUCUAAGAAAGGAGAAUAAGAAAUAAAGUUUCAUACCAGCAUUGAGUAGAUAUUCUUCUGUUGCUUGAGGGUCCUCAUUUGGAAUAUGUGAGAGAUGAAAACAGUGAAAGCAUUCCAAGUGCCAUCUUAGAAACCAAAAAGUAAAAGAUCAGCUUGCUCAAGAUGCUGUGGGAGACAUGAAAGAGAAAGUGUGUUUAUGUCUCCAAACUGUUUCACUCGGCUCCAAGAAGUUGUUAUACUGAUCAUUGCUGACAGCCAACUACCUAACUCAGCAGGCAUAGGAUUCACAAGACGGAAACACUGACUUAGAUAAUUAUGAAUAUUUAUCUAUGUCUCAAAUCAU